GACCGCUCAGGUGGUAUAGUUAUUAAAGCAUCCGCCUCGGAUGCGAGAGGUCGUGGGUUCGAACCCCGGCUGAGUCA